CUUCAGUGCUGCAGCAAACGCAUUAAGCACUCCGCUGGGGAGUACGACCGCAAGGUUGAAACUCAAAGGAAUUGACGGGGGCCCGCACAGCGGUGGAGCAUGUGGUUUAAUUCGAAGCAACGCGAAGAACCUUACCAGGUCUUGACAUCCUUUGACCACUCUAGAGAUAGAGCUUUCCCUUCGGGGACAAAGUGACAGGUGGUGCAUGGUUGUCGUCAGCUCGUGUCGUGAGAUGUUGGGUUAAGUCCCGCAACGAGCGCAACCCUUAUUGUUAGUUGCCAUCAUUUAGUUGGGCACUCUAGCGAGACUGCCGGUGACAAACCGGAGGAAGGUGGGGAUGACGUCAAAUCAUCAUGCCCCUUAUGACCUGGGCUACACACGUGCUACAAUGGGAAGUACAACGAGUCGCUAGGCCGCGAGGUCAUGCAAAUCUCUUAAAGCUUCUCUCAGUUCGGAUUGUAGGCUGCAACUCGCCUACAUGAAGCCGGAAUCGCUAGUAAUCGCGGAUCAGCACGCCGCGGUGAAUACGUUCCCGGGCCUUGUACACACCGCCCGUCACACCACGAAAGUUUGUAACACCCGAAGUCGGUGGGGUAACCUUUUGGAGCCAGCCGCCUAAGGUGGGAUAGAUGAUUGGGGUGAAGUCGUAACAAGGUAACCA
rnacentral:rRNA from 1 species